AUAGAGAUUUGUGGCUUGGUUCCA
rnacentral:siRNA from 1 species